CAGUCGCCGCGGUAAUACGGAAGGUGCAAGCGUUAAUUGGAAUUACUGGGCGUAAAGCGUACGUAGGCGGCUUUGUAAGUUAGAGGUGAAAGCCUGGUGCUCAACACCAGAACUGCCUUUAAGACUGCAUCGCUUGAACGUCGGAGAGGUGAGUGGAAUUCCGAUUGUAGAGGUGAAAUUCGUAGAUAUUCGGAAGAACACCAGUGGCGAAGGCGGCUCACUGGACGACUGUUGACGCUGAGGUACGAAAGCGUGGGGAGCAAACAGGAUUAGAUACCCCAGUAGUCCCUGUCUCUUAUAC
rnacentral:rRNA from 1 species